AAAGCGAAAGUUAAAAAGCGAAACACUCAGUGCAGUCAUAACCACAAGAUUCAUGAGCAAAAAGCAGAAUUGAUGGACUUCACCCUGCUGUGAGGAGCUUUUUUCAGUGACUGUUUUUCAGUGACCUGAAGGGGCUCGCCUGCCCACAGAGCCACACCAGUCGGUCAGGCAAAGAGAAAGCAGCCACUGUGAUCAAGCAGACACACGCUGUCCGAAAUUCUCUACUUUGACAUGUACACACACCCAGUUUGAGCAAUGGAGCUUCUGCAAAUUUGUCUGAGGUGAGUAUGUAAUCUGACAUUAGUGCUGUGCUGAAGUUUGUCAGCAGAGCAACGACUUCUACUGCAGUUGUUCUGCACACCUUGCAGUAGCAUUCGUGUUUCUGUAUGGUUGUGGCAAAAUGCACAUUGAUAUCCCAUCAUUGUGUAGCAAGUGGCCAGCUUUAGACGCUCGCCUGCUUCACUCUACGGGAUCUGGCGAUAAGUACCGUUCCAAUGGGCCUCUAGGUCUGUAGAGGAGUUACUUCUACUUUUUUCUUAUAUACGUAUUUUUUAAAUACUAAAGAAAACGCACACUUCAGGCUUAUUCAACAAACAAACAAUAGGUGUGUUUUACAU